rnacentral:rRNA from 1 species
UACGUAGGGGGCAAGCGUUGUCCGGAAUCAUUGGGCGUAAAGAGCGUGUAGGCGGCCAGAUAAGUCCGCUGUGAAAACUCGAGGCUCAACUUCGAGCUGUCGGUGGAAACUUUCUGGCUAGAGUCCGGAAGAGGAGAAUGGAAUUCCUGGUGUAGCGGUGAAAUGCGCAGAUAUCAGGAAGAACACCCGUGGCGAAGGCGGCUCUCUGGGGCGGUACUGACGCUGAGACGCGAAAGCGUGGGGAGCGAACAGG